rnacentral:rRNA from 1 species
CAGUCGAACGGGAUCCUGCAGGCUUUGCUUGCGGGUGAGAGUGGCGAACGGGUGAGUAAUGCGUGACCAACCUGCCCCAUGCUCCGGAAUAGCUCCUGGAAACGGGUGGUAAUGCCGGAUGUGCCGGGCUCCUGCAUGGGGGUCCGGGAAAGCUCUGGCGGCGUGGGAUGGGGUCGCGUCCUAUCAGCUUGUUGGCGGGGUGAGGGCCCACCAAGGCUUCGACGGGUAGCCGGCCUGAGAGGGCGACCGGCCACAUUGGGACUGAGAUACGGCCCAAACUCCUACGGGAGGCAGCAGUGGGGAAUAUUGCACAAUGGGCGCAAGCCUGAUGCAGCGACGCCGCGUGCGGGAUGGAGGCCUUCGGGUUGUAAACCGCUUUUGUUUGGGAGCAAGCCCUUCGGGGUGAGUGUACCUUUCGAAUAAGCACCGGCUAACUACGUGCCAGCAGCCGCGGUAAUACGUAGGGUGCGAGCGUUAUCCGGAUUUAUUGGGCGUAAAGGGCUCGUAGGCGGUUCGUCGCGUCCGGUGUGAAAGUCCAUCGCCUAACGGUGGAUCUGCGCCGGGUACGGGCGGGCUGGAGUGCGGUAGGGGAGACUGGAAUUCCCGGUGUAACGGUGGAAUGUGUAGAUAUCGGGAAGAACACCAAUGGCGAAGGCAGGUCUCUGG